rnacentral:rRNA from 1 species
GACGAACGCUGGCGGCGUGCUUAACACAUGCAAGUCGAACGAAGUGGCGAAUGGGUGAGUAACGCGUAAUCAACCUGCCCUUCAGAGGGGGACAACAGUUGGAAACGACUGCUAAUACCGCAUACUGAAGGAGGGGAUUGCGUCUGAUUAGCUAGUUGGAGGGGUAACGGCCCACCAAGGCGAUGAUCAGUAGCCGGUCGGGGAGGAGGAACGGCCAAAGUGGGACUGAGAAAAGGCCCAGACUCCUACGGGAGGCAGCAGGGGGGAAACUUCCGCAAUGGACGAAAGUCUGACGGAGCAACGCCGGGUGAGUGAUGACGGCCUUCGGGUUGUAAAGCUCUGUUAAUCGGGACGCGGUACCGGAAUAGAAAGCCACGGCUAACUACGUGCCAGCAGCCGCGGUAAUAC